AUUAAAACAUUAUAAAAAAGUAUGUGACUCCAAUAAUUUUCCUGCAAUUGACUGUAACCAAGACCGGUUUUACAAGAAUUCCGUGACAGAUGUUUCACAUUACACACAACGUUAUAGUUCAAGAAAUGGAUAAAUGCUGUGCUGAGUGGUUAUAUUACUACCUUAAAGGUGCCCUACAGUCCGUAUGUAAACAAAGCCUUUGUUUACAUUUUUGUGUCCAAAAUAUUGAGCUUUAUUCGACAACUACUUAUAUUUUCAAGCUUCUAGAGUAUAAUAAAUGAUCAAGAAACAACAAUCAGGCUUUUCAAGAACCCAAAACAUAGUUAAACUGUUUAUAUCAUAAAAAGUGGGCUCCUUUGUGCACAUGCGCAGAUCGGACUGUAGAGCACCUUUAAGAAACAAGCAGAAACUCGACGUUUCGAGCGAAGGCCCUUCGUCAAGAGUUAGUAGCAGGGAUCGGGGAUAAAAUGCACGGGCU